rnacentral:rRNA from 1 species
AGAGACAGCAGUAGCCGCGGUAAUACGAAGGGGGCUAGCGUUGUUCGGAAUUACUGGGCGUAAAGCGCACGUAGGCGGAUAUUUAAGUCAGGGGUGAAAUCCCGCAGCUCAACUGCGGAACUGCCUUUGAUACUGGGUAUCUUGAGUAUGGAAGAGGUUAGUGGAAUUGCGAGUGUAGAGGUGAAAUUCGUAGAUAUUCGCAGGAACACCAGUGGCGAAGGCGGCUAACUGGUCCAUAACUGACGCUGAGGUGCGAAAGCGUGGGGAGCAAACAGGAUUAGAUACCCCGGUAGUCCCUGUCUCUUAUAC